ACGGCUACCUUGUUACGACUUAGCCCCAAUUACCAGUUUUACCCUAGGACGCUCCUUGCGGUUACGUACUUCAGGUACCCCCGGCUUUCAUGGCUUGACGGGCGGUGUGUACAAGGCCCGGGAACGUAUUCACCGCGCCAUGGCUGAUGCGCGAUUACUAGCGAAUCCAGCUUCACGAAGUCGGGUUGCAGACUUCGAUCCGAACUGAGAGAGGUUUUUGGGAUUAGCGUCCUGUCGCCAGGUAGCUGCCUUCUGUACCCCCCAUUGUAACACGUGUGUAGCCCCGGACGUAAGGGCCGUGCUGAUUUGACGUCAUCCCCACCUUCCUCACAUCUUACGACGGCAGUCUCUCUAGAGUCCUCAGCAUGACCUGUUAGUAACUAAAGAUAAGGGUUGCGCUCGUUAUGGCACUUAAGCCGACACCUCACGGCACGAGCUGACGACAACCAUGCAGCACCUUCACACCUGCCUUGCGGCUAACAUGUUUCCACGUUAUUCAGGUGCAAUUUAAGCCCGGGUAAGGUUCCUCGCGUAUCAUCGAAUUAAACCACAUGUUCCUCCGCUUGUGCGGGCCCCCGUCAAUUCCUUUGAGUUUCACCGUUGCCGGCGUACUCCCCA
rnacentral:rRNA from 1 species